GUGCUAAGAAAACUGCCCCACAUCAUCUGCAGUAGGACGGGGGAGUUGGAGCCCUGGUCAGGCCACUCUGCUACUGACCACAGUUUUCUCAUCUCUAAAAAGGCGCAGUAACAAUAUAAUUACCGUAUGCAGUCCCCCAGGAUACAGGGUCAAAGGAGAGCACAACCAUCGCAGUUGGAAGCCCAUGGGGCAGGGCCCAGGACACAGUGAGCAUACAAUAGACAUUAGCUGCUGUGGUGUCUUGAUUUCAAGCCCAGUGCAGAUGCAUCUGACUUACGAAACUUCAGUGACACCUGCUCUGUGCCAGACACUGAAGAUGGAGCAGUGAACAGCACUGACCCAGCCUGUCCUCCUGUUGCCUGCAGGCCAGAAGCAAGGUCUCGCUGUGUUACCCUGGCUGGAGUGCAGUGGCUACUUACAGGCAUGAUCAUAGCAUACUGCAGCCUCGAACUCCUGGACUAGAGCAGUUCUCCUGCCUCAGCCUCCAGAGCAGCUGGGACUGCAGACACGCACCACAGAGCCCAGCCUGAGUCAUUUUGAUUCUGUAACUGGCUUCCUCUCGGCGGGCAGGCUCACACCCUCCACCCCCAGCUGGAGAUGGAAGGAGGAUGCUCACCGCCCAUUCCUCAUGCAGGCCAUCGAUGGAAAUGUCAGACAGUGCGAGUCCACGCCUGAACACUUCUGGGGUCCGCUCUGGGACUGACACUGGCAGAUCCAUCGGUGAGCUCCCGCCUGCCACCUCUGGGCCUGCAUUGCGGUGAUAGGGCCAAGGGCCUGGGCCUUCAAUUCUCCAGACUUGCCAAAAUGCUCAGCGCAGGCCUCGUCGGCAACUGCAGACAAGCAGAGGCAGCACCUGGGCUCUGCCUGUGCCUGGCACAGUGAAGCGAGGGUGGGGGCAGGAAUGAGGGUCCUCUCCAUGCAAGGGGGGAAGAUAGAAGAACAAAAUUUCACCCUAAUGUAGUGUCUUUAGACCGUGCAAUGUUGUGCUCCUGUUAGUCUGAUAUCAGGGGCUUGCAGCCUGGCAAAGGAAAAAAAACAGGCUGAGGCACAUGAUAGAAGACAGGCAGGGAUGCCACAAUCAUAACCAUGGCAAAGACCAGGAUCAGAAAGGCCCACCAUCUCUGACCCCAAAUCCCUGGGCAGAUGGUUCCAGAACUCAGAAUUUUCCCAGUUGUAGAAAGAUGGGGCCAGGUGCAGUGGCUCACGCCUGUAAUCCCAGCAUUUUGGGAGUACAAGGUGGGCGGAUCACCUGAGGUCAGGAGUUCGAGACCAGCCUGGCCAACAUGGUGAAACCCUGUCUCUACUAAAAAAAAAAAAAAAAAUUAGCCGGGCGUGGCGAUGCAUGCCUGUAAUCCCAGCUACUCGGGAGGCUGAGCCAGGAGAAUUGCUUGAACCCGGGAGGCGGAGGUUGCAGUGAGCCAAGAUCGCGCCACUACACUCCAGUCCGGGCGACAGAGCAAGAGUCCAUUCCCCCACCACCAAAAAAAAAAAAAAAAGAAAGAAAGAUGAUGUGAUACAUAUCACAUAUUUCCUAACACCCCCAACCAAACACAUUUAUGCAUAUGCAUAAAGCAGACGAGGAAAGAUUCUAAAUAGGCUCUGAAUCUCAGUUUUCUCAUCUCUACAAUGGGGCAGUGAUGGCAUGCACCUCCCAGGGCUGUUCUGAGAAUCUGAUGCCUCCCAUUGCACUGGUGAGCCUGGCACAGGCACAGGUCCCACCCCAGGCCCUUUGAACUGGCUGUUCCUUUGGCCUGGAACAUUCCUCCCCAGAUACCUCCUGAGAGGGCUCCCUCACUUCCUUCAAGGCACUGCUCAAAUGCUACCUCUUCACAGAGGCUUUCCCUGACCACCCCGUCUCUUUCCUCUUCCUGCAUAGCCUCUGUCACCUGACAUUUUAUGUCAUAAAUUACUCAUUUAUUAAUUUCCUGCUCUCCCACAGUGGCACCCGAGCUCUGUGAGGGCAAGACUUUGUUCGGUUGUGGGCUAUGCCCCCAACCCCUCGGACAGUGCCUGCACAGGUGGACAUUUUUGUUGGAUGAAGGAUUUUCUGUUAAAUGUGUCUGGCACACACAGAAAAACAAAGCCCAGCAGGUACGAUGGUGAUUAUUAUUGUUACUGGUGGCGCUCUAUUAUUGUUAUUAGUGUCUGUUGAAAAAGACCCUGAGCUAUACCAGCCCUUGGUUCUCCAGCCUGUGAAAUGGGCAUCCUGGGCACUGAGGCACUAGCCUUGGGAAGCUGAUAGGGGGUCCCUGCAGGAGAGACAAAGAACACUGCCCACCCCCCCGGGGGAGCCUGCGCCCCUCACCGGAAAGAGAAGCAGGGGGGAGCAGAGGGAGCUUGCAGCCCCACACGCAGGGCUGCCAGAAGGCCAUACAUAAUUCAUUGCCAAAUGGGGCUGCGGGCGGCUCUCCGCGGCGUGCGCUGGGGGCUCACUCUGCGCCUGGCACUUCGCUGACUGCGCCUCACACGUUGCCUCAUUGCAUCUUCAUGGAUUUGCAGGGUGUGACCCUUCCCCCUGUUUUACCCAGGGGGAUCCUGAGGCUCAGAGGAUGGGGCCACCGUGCUAGUCACACAGCCUCUCUGUGGCCAAGCUGGGCCUCGGGCCAGCAGAUUCGGCCCCCAGCGGCCCCCAUUCACUGCCUCUCUGCUGAGGGAAAAGACGGGCCUGGGGAGCGGGUGGGAGGCACAAAGGAGACCCCGCUCUGAGACAGGCUGCAGAAGAGGGAGCUGGGUCUCAGCAGGGCUGGGGAAGGCUCUGGCCCCAGCCCUCCGCCCAACCCCCUGCCCUCCUCUCCUGGAGGAGAUGCUCCCCAAAUUAGCCAUCAUGAGCGCUGGCUCUGGGGGUUGGGCGUUGGGGAGCAGUUUGCUCAGCUGUAAAAUGGGAAUAACAGAAGCCGUCCCUGGGACUAUGAGAUCAAGGUGCUCAAGAAAAGUGGUGUCUGCUGAGGGGAAAAGCCAGUCCCAAAAGGUUGCAUACUCUCAUUCUGUUUAUUUGUUUUUGUUUUUGAGACAGGGUCUCGCCCUGUCACCCAGGCUGGAGUACAGUGGCGCAAUAUGGGCUCACUGCAACCUCCACCUCCUGGGCUCAAGUGAUCCUCCCAUCUCAGACCCUCAAGGAGCUGGGGCUACAGGCACGUGCCACCGUGUCCGGCUAAUUUUUGUAUUUUUUGUAGAGACAGGGUUUCACCAUGUUGCCCAGGCUGGUCUCAAACUCCUGAGCUCAGGUGAUCCGCCUGCCUUGGCCUGCGAUAAAAUUGCACAGAAGUAAAUACACACACGUGAGGAUACGGAAAACCGGGGAAACCUGAGCAAGAGCAGUCAGACCCCGGCUGUGAUGGCGCCCAGUAGUUCUGCGAGAUGUUACCAUUGGGGAAACUGAGUGAAGGCGGGUACCUGGGAUCCCUCUGUUUUCUUUUUUGUUGUUGUUGUUAUUUUGAGAUGAAGUUUCCCUCUUGUUGCCCAGGCUGGGUGAUCCACCUGCCUCGGCCUCCCAAAGUGCUGGGAUUACACGCGUGAGCCACUGUGCCCAGCCUCUCUGUUUUAUUUCUUCUUUUUUUUUUUUUUUUUUUGGAGACGCUCUGUCGCCCAGGCUGGAGUGCAGUGGCACGAUAUUGGCUCACUGCAAGCUCCGCCUCCUGGGUUCACACCAUUCUCCUGCCUCAGCCUCCCGAGUAGCUGGGACUACAGGCGCCCGCCACCUCGCCCGUCUAAUUUUUUGUAUUUUUAGUAGAGGCGGGGCUUCACCGUGUUAGCCAGGAUGGUCUCAAUCUCCUGACCUCGUCAUCCGCCCGUCUCGGCCUCCCAUAGUGCUGGGAUUACAGGCAUGAGCCACCACGCCCGGCUGUUUUAUUUCUUAUAACUGUACAGGAAUCUACAAUGAUUGUAACAAAAAUUUCAAUUAAGGCCACUCUAGGCACAUGGCCUGUGGGGUAGCCCUGCUCAACAAGAAGCCGUCAAAAAAAUGUUUUUUAAUUAAAAAAUUUCUUCAAUUAAAAAGCGUUAUCUUCCUCUGCCCGGAAAGGGUUAAGUGAGUCACUGCAGUUAGCUCCCCUUCCCCCACAACCACCUAGACCAGGCCAGGGACCAGCGGGCAAUUGCCUGGCAGCUGGAGUUUUCCUCCACUGUGGACUGUACUUCUUGCGUCACUCUGAAUGUCUCCAGUCUUUAUUCCAGAAUGUUCUGGUCCUCUCCCACUUUUCCAAGGACAGGAAUUCCCUAGUGGGGCUCCAGAAGAGGCUCUGGAGGAGAACAAGAAAGGCCCUUGUCAUCCAUUGGCCUCAGGCUGGGAAAUCUCGGUUCCACUCCCAGCCCAGCCUCAAUAUUAGGUUGUCAGUCUGGAGUCUGAGAGCCAUGCCCCCACCCCCUUAGUCCUUCACCUCCAGGAGAGUUGGGGAUACUGGAAAGAAUGUUGAGUGUCAGAGCCCCUCUCAGUGGCUCACGCCUGAAAUCCCAGCCCUUUGGGAGGCUGAGGCAGGUGGAUUGCUUGAGGCCAAGAGUUCAAGACCAGCCUGGCCAACGCGACGAAACCCUGACUCUACUAAAAAUACAAAAAUUAGCUGGGCGUGGUGGCACACACCUGUAAUCCCAGCAGCUCGGGAGGCUGAGGCAGGAGAAUUGUUUGAACCUGAGAGGUGGAGGUUGCAGUGAGCUGAGAUCACAACACUGCACUCAAAAAGUAGUUAAUUAAUUUAGUUUAAUUAAAAAAGAAUAUUGAGUGUCAGGCAAUCUGGGUAGAACCCAUUGUGUUUCUACAGGAUAGAAUCUGCUGUGUUCUCUAGCGGAACUUCCGGAUCACCUUCACCGUAUGACUCUAGACAAUCCCUGUCCACUCUUCAGUUUUAGAUGCCCCAUUCAAAGAAUGAAAGAAUUGUCCUAGAUGAUCCUUUAGGGUCUUCCAGGCUGAUGACAAGGGGGACCUGGCCCCUCUGCUGCUGGCCAAAGAGGACUUUACUUCCCAUUCCGUGUGGUUGAACAAGAAUUGCUGGGCUCCAGUCCUGCCUUUGGCCCUUCCCUACAUGUGACCUUGGGCCCUCUUUGCCUUUCAGAAUCAAUACAGUGAGAGAGUUAACACAAGCUCAGGUUAGUAAGUCAUUCAACAAACAUUUACUGAGCGCUUAUCAAAUACUGCAUGCUGGAGUGGACACUGGAGAAAAAGGUGAGGAGAAGGCCGGGCGCAGUGGCUCGUGACUGUAAUUCCAGCACUUUGAGGGGCAGAGGCAGGUGGAUUACCUGAGGUCAGGAGUUUGAGACCAGCCUGGCCAACAUGGCAAAACCCCGUCUCUACUAAAAAUACAAAUAUUAGCCAGGCAUGGUGGUGCAUAUCUGUAGUCCCAGCUACUCAGGAGGCUGAGCAGGAGAAUCACUUGAACUCAGGAGGUGGAGCGUGCAGUGGGCCGAGAUUGCACCUCUGCACUCCAGCCUGGGCAACAUAGUGAGACUCUGUCUCAAAUAAAUAAAUAAAGUGAGGAGAAAAAAAUACCAUCUCUGUCUUCACAGAACUUAUAGUUUGAGAGGGGAGAAUCCCACAAGUAAAUUAUAAAUCUCAGCUGAGAUUAUGCAAAGAAGCAAAGGCCGGACGUGGUGGCUCACGCCUGUAAUCCCAGCACUUUGGGAGGCCGAGACGGGCGGAUCAUGAGGUCAGGAGAUUGAGACCAUCCUGGCUAACACGGUGAAACCCUGUCUCUACUAAAAAUACAAAAAAAUUAGCUGGGCGUGGUGGCGGGCGUCUGUAGUUCCAGCUACUCGGGAGGCUGAGGCAGGAGGAUGGCGUGAACCCAGGAGCACAGGUUGCAGUGAGCCGAGAUGGCGCCACUGCACUCCAGCCUGGGCGACAGAGCGAGACUCUGUCUCAAAAAAAAAAAAAAAAAAGGAAGCAAAGUGCCCAGCUGGGAUGGUGGUUUCAGAGGCCACAGUGGGAGCUUCCCAGAGAAGGGAUGAUUGAGCUAAGUCUAAGCAAAAGGGGUGGUCAGGGCAGCAGCUGCUCCAAAACAGGGGCUGGGGGCUUAUGUGGAGAGAGAAGACAUGGAGAGACCAUGCCCAGAAGGAGGCGGCGGCUUCAGUGAACAGUGCAGGGGAGCAGGUCCGAGGAGGCCGCCUACCAGGGGAAGGAGUCUCAUCUCCAUCCUAGACAAAAAAAGGAUCUUUUGAGAUGCAUUAAGCAGGGGAGUCACAGAUUGGAUUUGUGUUUUGAGAAUCUCCUGCUUACCUAGAGAAGAAGGGCAUCUCCUGGGCCCUCACUGUUGCCUUAAAUGAUUUUUAUUGUGUAUUACUUAAACAUGUGCAAGCAUAAAAUGAGAUAUAAACUCCUUGUAGCUCUUAUACAAGCAUCAGACCAAGACAAAUUGACCCAUCACGUACAAAAUCGAUUCAAAUCAGAUUAAUUUUAUGUGACAUGUUAUUAUGCCUUUUGUCUGAAACCCUGCCACCACCCACAGUGCAAUUAUGGCCCAACCACUGUGGUGUUCUGAAUUUGUGGGACAGAGAAUAUUGGCCUUUUAAACACGUGCAUGCAUGCAUUUGCGUGUGCGCACACACACACAUCCCAAAUGAUUUUUUCCCACUAUAUAUGAAGAACUCCUACAAACCAAAAAGAAAAAGGCAGACAAUUCAAGAGAAAAAUGGGGGAGGGCUUGCAUUAAAGUACUUCAUAACAAGAGUACUUAGGAGGCCAACAAAUACACGAAAAGCUGCUAGCUUCAUGACUCAUGGGGGUGGCUUGGUCAGUUCAGGAUACUGUAACAAAAUACCUUAGACUGGGAAAUUUAUAAACAACGGAAUUUAUUGCUCACAGUUCUGGAGGCUGGGAAGUCCAAGAUCAAGGCAGCAGUAGAUCCGGUGCCUGAGCCCGUUCCCUGCUUCAAACAUGGCACCUUCUUGCUGUAUCCUCACAUGGUGGAAGGGGGAAGACAGUUCUCUGGGGCCUCUUUUAUAAGGGCAGUUAUCCAAUUCACAAGGAUAGAGCCCUCAUGACCUAAUCACCUUUCAAAGAUCCCCAUCUUCUAACACCUUCUAACACCAUCACCUUGGUGAUUAGGUCUUUUUGUUGUUGUUGUUGUUGAGAUGGACUCUCACUCUGUUGCCUAGGCUGGAGUGCAGUGGCGUAAUCUUGGUUCACUGCAACCUCUGCCUCCCGGGCUGAAGUGAUUAUCCUGUCUCAGCCUCCCAAGUGGCUGGGAUUACAGGCGUGUGCCACCAUGCCCGGCUAAUUUUCAUAUUUUUAGUAGAGACAGGGUUUCACCAUGUUGGUCAGGCUGGUCUCGAACUCCUGACCUCAAGUGAUCUGCCUGCCUCAGCCUCCCAAAGUGCAAGGAUUACAGGCAUGAGCCACCAUGCCCGGCAUAGGCAUGGUUUUGACAAUCUGUCUCUUUGUGCCCUGGCUCCUUCUCCAACUCCUCUUUGGAGGAGGCACAGGAGGAGGGGUCAUUUCACUGUUCCUGAAAAGUAGACAUAUAACCUACAUGCAACUGCCAGGUGAUAAGGGCCCCAUCUGUCUGGCAUGACGUUGGAGGUCCACAAAGGCUGAUUAGAUGAAUGCUCAGCUCUGGGGCCUCCCCACAGAGCUCACAGACAGGCGUGAAGGAAAGCAGGACUCUUAUUAGAAUAUGUUCAGAGUUUUCACUGAAGAAGCCUCCUGUGUGGGCCAGGCACUGUGCUCAGUGCUUUGAUUCACAGUCUCAUUUAAUUCUCACCAUUUACAGACAAGAAUUCAGCUAAGAUCCUUUUCAAUCAAGUCUGGCAAUAUCUGCCUUUCAAUGGCAGUGCCUAGUCCUUUCAUAUGUAAUAUACUUAUCAUUAUGGGUGGGUUUAAGUUUUAUCAUCUUGCUAUUUGUUAU
rnacentral:lncRNA from 1 species